CCUACGGUGUGCAGCAGUGAGGAAUAUUGGUCAAUGGACGAGAGUCUGAACCAGCCAAGUAGCGUGAAGGCUGACUGCCCUAUGGGUUGUAAACUUCUUUUAUAUGGGAAUAACAUGUUCCACGUGUGGGAUUUUGUAUGUACCAUAUGAAUAAGGAUCGUCUAACUCCGUGCCAGUAGCAGCGGUAAUACGGAGGAUCCGAGCGUUAGCCGGAUUUAUUGGGUUUAAAGGGAGCGUAGGUGGAUUGUUAAGUCAGUUGUGAAAGUUUGCGGCGCAACCGUAAAAUUGCAGUUGAAACUGGCAGUCUUGAGUACAGGAGAGGUGGGCGGAAUUCGUGGUGUAGCGGUGAAAUGCUUAGAGAUCACGAAGAACUCCGAUUGCGAAGGCAGCUCACUGGACUGCAACGGACACUGAGGCUCGAAAGUGUGGGUAUCAAACAGGAUUAGAUACCCUUGUAGUC
rnacentral:rRNA from 1 species